AACCACCGCGCCCAGCCAGAUUGUAUAAAUCUUUUGCCUUUUACUAAAGAUUUCCAUGGAAAGGAACAGUUAUGAGUCUUUACCCAAUUUUUUGAGGCCUCAUAAAACACCUGAGACA
ensembl:snRNA U5 U5 spliceosomal RNA